ACAGGCUUAACACAUGCAAGUCGAGGGGCAUCAGGAAGAAAGCUUGCUUUCUUUGCUGGCGACCGGCGCACGGGUGAGUAACACGUAUCCAACCUGCCCUUUACUCGGGGAUAGCCUUUCGAAAGAAAGAUUAAUACCCGAUAGCAUAAUGAUUCCGCAUGGUUUCAUUAUUAAAGGAUUCCGGUAAAGGAUGGGGAUGCGUUCCAUUAGGUUGUUGGUGAGGUAACGGCCCACCAAGCCUUCGAUGGAUAGGGGUUCUGAGAGGAAGGUCCCCCACAUUGGAACUGAGACACGGUCCAAACUCCUACGGGAGGCAGCAGUGAGGAAUAUUGGUCAAUGGGCGCUAGCCUGAACCAGCCAAGUAGCGUGAAGGAUGAAGGCUCUAUGGGUCGUAAACUUCUUUUAUAUAAGAAUAAAGUGCAGUAUGUAUACUGUUUUGUAUGUAUUAUAUGAAUAAGGAUCGGCUAACUCCGUGCCAGCAGCCGCGGUAAUACGGAGGAUCCGAGCGUUAUCCGGAUUUAUUGGGUUUAAAGGGAGCGUAGGUGGACUGGUAAGUCAGUUGUGAAAGUUUGCGGCUCAACCGUAAAAUUGCAGUUGAUACUGUCAGUCUUGAGUACAGUAGAGGUGGGCGGAAUUCGUGGUGUAGCGGUGAAAUGCUUAGAUAUCACGAAGAACUCCGAUUGCGAAGGCAGCUCACUGGACUGCAACUGACACUGAUGCUCGAAAGUGUGGGUAUCAAACAGGAUUAGAUACCCUGGUAGUCCACACAGUAAACGAUGAAUACUCGCUGUUUGCGAUAUACAGUAAGCGGCCAGGCGAAAGCAUUAAGUGUUCCACCUGGGGAGUACGCCGGCAACGGUGAAACUCAAAGGAAUUGACGGGGGCCCGCACAAGCGGAGGAACAUGUGGUUUAAUUCGAUGAUACGCGAGGAACCUUACCCGGGCUUAAAUUGCAGUGGAAUGAUGUGGAAACAUGUCAGUGAGCAAUCACCGCUGUGAAGGUGCUGCAUGGUUGUCGUCAGCUCGUGCCGUGAGGUGUCGGCUUAAGUGCCAUAACGAGCGCAACCCUUAUCUUUAGUUACUAACAGGUUAUGCUGAGGACUCUAGAGAGACUGCCGUCGUAAGAUGUGAGGAAGGUGGGGAUGACGUCAAAUCAGCACGGCCCUUACGUCCGGGGCUACACACGUGUUACAAUGGGGGGUACAGAAGGCAGCUAGCGGGUGACCGUAUGCUAAUCCCAAAAUCCUCUCUCAGUUCGGAUCGAAGUCUGCAACCCGACUUCGUGAAGCUGGAUUCGCUAGUAAUCGCGCAUCAGCCACGGCGCGGUGAAUACGUUCCCGGGCCUUGUACACACCGCCCGUCAAGCCAUGGGAGCCGGGGGUACCUGAAGUACGUAACCGCAAGGAUCGUCCUAGGGUAAAACUGGUGACUGGGGCUAAAUCA
rnacentral:rRNA from 1 species